GACCAACCGAGACCGCCACUGUCUUCCCCAAAACCCAGAUCUGGAGAAGCCGAGGGAGCAGCUCGCCGCCAAAGCCACUUUCUCCUCGACGCCGAGCCGCCGUUCUCUGCACCUCGAGCGACGCCCACACCUUCGCGCCGUUGCUGCCGAAGCGCCGGACGUCCGCCAGCACCGUCAGUAGCAGCUCGAGCCACCGCCGCGCCUCCGCCCGCGACGACCUGCCGCGCUCUGCUCGCGAACCGACAGCACCCGCCGCCACUGCUCCCGACGCCGAACCAGCCGGGGACGAACCAGAUCUGGGAGUUGAUCGAACUCCGCUGCACCACCAGGCCGACCGCCGCCGCCGUCCCGCUCUAGUCGCCGUCCGAACCCCCUCGCUGCAGCCGGUGCCGUCGCUCACCCAUCACUGCCCUCAACCCGACGUCGUUUGAGCUGCCUCGCCCGUCACCGCCGAGCGAGCCCCACACCGGCCCUCGCCACGCGCUGCCACUCCUGGCCGCGUCUCGCCAGUCACCGCCGUGCCGACGCCGCCGCCCGUCGUACCACCGCUGUUGCCAUCCGAAUCACCUUCGCCGCCGCCGCCAACGCCGCCUAGAAACCCUAGGGUUUCGGCCAAAAGGAUCGGGUCGGACACGGGUCGCGAACCGGGUAGGGUUUUUGAGCUAUUUGGGCCGGUUUUGGGUUUGGGUUGUUUUGCUUGUGGGCUUAUAGACUUGUGGGCUUAGGAACUUAUGGACUAGUGGGCUUAGGAACUUAGGGAAUUGUGGGUUUUUUUUUUUUUUAAAUAAAAGAGAUUGGACCAAAUUGGGCCCGCUGGUUGGGCCCAAUCCGAACCAAAGAAAGGCCCGACCAAGGCUGGUCGGGCCGGUUCGGCUGGCCCCCCCAUUUGGACCGAACCCGGGUCUGGUCGGAGACCGGACCCGAUCCGCUUUGACCGGGUUGGGUCGAACUGAACCCACCCGGUUCACCUUUUUAAAUCAAAAAUUAAUUUUAAAAAUUAAAAAAAUUAAAAAAUUAAAAAAAUAUUUUCUUUUACAAAUUAAAAAAUAAAAAAUAAAAAAGUUUAAAAAAAUUUAAAAAAAUUUAAAAAAAUUUUAAAAAAAAUUAAAAAUUUCGAAAAUCCAAAAAUGAUGGGAUUUGAUUAGGAUUUGCCAUGUAUUGCCAUUUUAGCAUAAUUAGACUUUUAUGUGCUCGUAUAUUAAUUAUGUUGCAUGUUUAAUUUGCAUAUCUAAUUAUGUUUUAUGGCAUGUGCUUAAUUUUAUGGCAAUUAGAACCUUGGUAGUUAUGGUUAUUACUUUAAUGAUUGCGCACCCGUAUGAUCACCUCACAUGUUAAUGGAUAAGCAUAAAAUCAAUUCAAACUGUCUGCCAAAAAUCAUUUUAUUAAAAUGAACAAGAUUAGGUACCGAAAGGGCACUAAUUGGUUAAUUAGUGUAAUCAAAUCCCCGAACCUAGAUUCUCUGGUUGUGUAGGAAGUGAGGCACGCUCCCAUGCUUCACUUGGUUUCUAGCCGAUCCCAAUAGGCUAGUGGCGACUCCUUUUGUGCAAAAUUCUUAAAAUAUAUCCCAAUGUCACGCGGGGUAUGGGCUUGGGAGAGCUCGUGCCUAAUCAUGGGCCUUAGGCCCGUCCUUAGGCCCGUCCUUAGGCAAUACCCCUAAACCUGUUCCCUCCCCCCGAGGGUAGGUCGCCUGGCGACUCCACUGGGGACUUGGUUUUAAACCUUAGAGGACUUAAGCCAAAAUUAAUUUUGUUCAAAAGGAUUUUUAUUUGGCAGUGAGGAUUCCAGGUACGCCCCUAACAUUGUAGGUGUUAAAUGUUCUUACAGAAUGGGAGGUAUAAGGGGAAGUGUUUGCUCACCUUUGUCUUGUAGGGAAAUGUAGGAAGCUAUGGUUUAUUUUUAUGUACGGAGUGUUGUUUGCCUAUAAAUUGUUGUGCAUGUAUUCUCUGCAUUGCACUACACCAUGGCACACACAACCUGCCGCCGGACCUGGGCCGCAUAGGAUCACUUAGGAUAGUGUUGAGGUGGAUACCACUCCGACUACAAUCGCGUAGUAUGAGUCGCUCACCUUAACCCCGAAAUUUCUUUCUUCACGUCAAAGGUACCCACCCCGGUCUGCAACCGUGUGACAUGGGUCAGUUCUUUGACGAAGCCGGAGUCAUGGGUAACCCGACCCAGCCACGACCUUGUUGGUUCAGUCCGGUGAUCCCAUGGCUCCAUUUUGGGCCGUAUAGAGUAGAAAUCGAACCACAUUCCAUGUGCAUGUCUAUGUAAUUUUGAAAAAAAAAAAAACAUGAGACAAAGGUCGGCACCCAUUGUAAGUAUCAUUUCCCUUUUUAUUUGCUCAUUUUGUAUUGCUUUUUCAUCUUGAAAUUUGCGGAAAUCAAUCGAAUGCCCUCGGUGAUGCAAGCUUAUGAUUGAAAAAUUGACAAUCACUUUUGACAAGUGAGCAUCUGAAUGCAAGUUCUAAACAUUUUGAUUUGGCCCUGUUGAACACAUGGUUUUGUUUAAAUUUCUAGUUAUGGGCUCAAAAUCAUUUCGAAAAAAGAAAGAAAAAAAACUUUCAAGUUGUGAUUAUAUUGGGACACAAAAAUUGAAAUUGCAUUUUUUAUCAAAUUUUCUCAUUCUCACAUUUUGGGACUAUAAUGCAAAUCAUUUUGUGUACAAAUUCCUCAAAAUAGAAUUCACUCCAUUUCUCUAUGAGUAAAAUCACAAAUCAAUUUUUCAAAAAUCAAUUUUUCAAAAAUCAAUAACACUUUUGCAUACGAAACUUUUGGAAUAAAAGUGGACAUUCGAUUGAUGGCCGUGGAUUGAUAAUUUUAAUGAUGUUUUCUCUUAUGAUAAAAUCUUGGCGAAAUACUAAAAUCCCGUAAUAAGGAUUGUGGGCCAUGUAUCAUUGCCUCGAUUUUAUUGUAAGAAGCGACCUCAUUAAGAUAUUAUUUUCUCUCAUUCACAUACUGACAUUGUCAUCUUUUUGCAGGUUAUGUGCGAUGCUCUUUGACAUUCUCGUGGUAGCCACACAAAGGAGUGGAUUCUAGAGUUAGGACAAGAGUUAAUCUUUACUUUCAUCCAUGCAAGAGUUUCUUGUAUUUUAUCAUUAUUCUUAUUGUUAAGAGUCAUGUUUUCCGUGUUGAGUUUUGAUUGUGAAUCCAAUUGAUGCCUUUGUAAAUCACGCGACUCAUUUUUUCUUAUGAUGGAAUUCAAUUUCAUGAAAAUCAUCCCUUAAAAAAAAAAAAAAUUCAGAAGUGUUUUAGGCGAACCUUUACGUCUACCUUCCAAAAUGAAUUUCAAGAAAACUUUGCUUAAGACCCUUUCUUCAUAUAGUCAUUUUCUUGGGCUCAUCGAACUCGAGGAGCAAGCAUGCGUUGAGGUUUCGUUGGCGCCAAUUUUCCGUAAAAGCGGAACGAAGUCAAAUUCCAUUCUGAGAAGUUUUGUUAUUCGCAAAUGCCUUACGUGCCAAAAUAACCCGUUGACCUCGUUCACUUUGCAUGAUGAGACAAAUGAAGGGAGUUGCCAAGUAUCCAAAAGGGCGAAUUCAAAGGAAGAGUAAACUGUAUCGAUUCCAGUUAUUCAUUUCUAAUACCAUUUCUGACAUAAUUUUAUUUUCAUUGUCAAGGAGAUAUCAAGAGUGCCAAGUUUUGUAACGUUCCCAACAAACGCAAUGGAGCACUUUUAAGUCUUGUUCAUCUUAAACAAAAAAGAUUCAAAUGAAACAUAGUGGGCAAUAUUGUCUAUUCCUCCAUGAGAGAUACAUUGGGAUGUUGAUCGCUUGACUCUAAAAAGGAUGUAUCUCGUUCCUAAACUUGAUUUCUCUUCAGCAUAAAAAAUGACAUGUCCUUUUUCUUUGAUACAGGACGGGUUCGAACAUAACAAAGGAUUGUCAAAUAAAGAGUGGCAGAGCAACGUUUGAUUUAUAAAAAAAAUCUCUCAUCUCCCCACAAACAAAGUGUGCUGGAACAACAUUGUCAAAUUCAUCAAGAAUGAUGUAUCAUUCCUUAGUUGAACCUAACUAAGAAUAGAGAUAACUUAUUUCAUCUCCCUUUCUUACAGGGUGAUAAAAAAAAAAAAGGGGUUGCACCUAACCGUAGAAGCGGCGCCUUCUACCAAGGAAUCAGGAAAACAUCAAACACUUAAAGGCAAAUGCAAGGGAAGGGUAUUGUUGAGUUACCAAUGUCCAUGAAGGUGAAUCCAAGAGAUGUUAGCGCCAAAAGGAUGAAAGCGAGUGAAGGGUAAUAAUGUAUCGUUUCCAACAUUUCAAUCCCUAAGGAGCUUUGCACUAACAUAUUCUUUUACAUUCUUUACAGGAUUAUCGGGUCGCCAUGCUGCAAGUAAGUACCCUUCUUCUCAGUCUUAUUUUUUUAAGUAAAAAAAAAAGGGGGAGAAAAAAAGAGAAUUUCCAUUACAAAAGAGAACUUUUGGGCUUUCCUAGAGACAAAAAAUGAAUAAUAAUUGAGAAAAGAAAAAAAAAUUACAAACCUUUUGAGCAUCCUUUCUAUCUCAAAAUUGUUUUCUCGUCUUGUGGAUUAUUCAUUUUGAAUCAAAGUUCCCUAUGGAGAUUGAUAUACUCGAAUGAUCUCGGCAGAGUGAAAUGGAAAUGUUAACCAUGCCAAACAAGAAGUGCUUAGGAUGAAGAGAGGCAAGCUCAUUUCCAAACACGUCCUUCAAACACUUUUGAGAGUUGAGCAUUAUUCAAACACUUUUGAGAGUGGAGUGAAAAGAGGCCUUCUCUUAGGACGAAUGAUUCAUUCGCAUUGAGCGCAAAGAUCGAAAUGAUAAGGCAUUUCCUUCAUCAAUCCCAAGCAUUGCACUGAUCCCUUGUUACCCAUUUGGGCUAAAAAAAAAGAUGAUCCUUCAAAGUACCCCUAUCGAGAACAACCCUACAUUGGGGCAAUAUAGGAGGUUACGGUCGUGUCGUAAAACGAAAGGUUGAGAAAGAUUCUAUUACUUUCACUUAUAUCAAUCUUCUUGUGGUAGCUUGAGAGGAAUUCUCAUCGGAGCUUGACUCAUCCCAAGGUGAAGAAGAGCAUUUCCUUCUCUACCCAAACACUAAUACCCAUUGCUUUAACCAAUUUGGGCCUGAUUAUUCAUUUCCGAAUCUCGAGCGGUGGUCAUCUUCCUUCACUGGGGCAAGGCAUAAGAAUUGACCAAAUACAAUUGACAAUCACGGGAAAAUGUGAAAAGCAUCUUGAAAGUCAUAAGCUACCAAAGUUCAAAGAGCAAAAAGCUCGACAAACUAGGGGGCAUAAAAAAGCAGUGUGCCUGGUAAAAGCAAGGCCAAUACCUGUCAAGAAAAAGAGCCAAAAGGCCGCAUCUUAUGUGAAAGAAAAAUUAUCAAAAUCCAAGUGCCUGCGAAAAAAGAUCAUCGCAAAAGACAAAGGAAAUUAGAGAAAAGAGCAAAGCUCUCAUGCAGAAAUGAUCAGUGAAUGAACUCUCGAGAUGUGCUGUGUUUCAAGAGCCAAAUGCUUUCGAAAGGUCAAGGUCACGAUGCCAUGAUGAUCAUUGACUCUUAAAGACCCUCUUGAAAAUUUUAAGCCUUUCAAGCCUUUCCCGAGCCAACAUUAUAACCCUUUUCCGAAGCCUCUUCUGAUUGGGAUGAUUUGAGUGAAAAUGAGAAUAUCACAAAGAAGCUACUGCUUGAAGGAGUGGAAAUAAUUCUAUCUUGUCUUAUCUUCCAAGUUCUCGACUCGUAAACCCAAUGAAGAUAGCGGCAAAUGUUCCUUUAUUGGCCUCAAAGUAAUCAUUCCUUUGUGUAAGCCCUAACCAAGCCUAUAUUGCGGUCCUUUCAAAAGACCUUUUUGAUCGAUCAGAUUGUGCUCAUUGCGAAUGUUUCCGAAAGCCUUCGACAUAGGCUAUGUGAGAUACUUUCAGCAAUCAGUUACUUCUCACAUGAAUGGAUGGGAUCAAGUAGCCAUUUUAUCGAGAGUAUGUGAGAAGCCCUUUCUGACUAAGAAGCUCCUGUUUGGCAUGCUUAAUGAGUAUUUUUCACGAAUAGAAAUCAUUCUGGUAAGAACUUGACUCAUAGAGAAUUUGAUGAUUAACGAUGCAUCCACGAGCAAGAUGACAAUUUUGCGCCACAUGAUGCUGAUUGAAAUAAAAUAUUUUUCCAAAGCAGUCAGACUUAGCUUGAUUAGCUUGUUCAAUUAAUGCUGCAAUAUUUCUAAUACGACGUCCCUAAUGACAUUUGCCUAAGUUGAGUUUCACAGGAUUCCUCAGUGAACCCAUGCAGUUUUUAGGGGAUUAGCGGGUGCUUCCCUAAAAAUCAAAGGUUCAUGGUCAACCUUAAACCAUGCCAUCUCAAAAGGUUCAUGGUCAGCCUUAAACCAUGCCAUCUCCAAAGGUUCAUGGUUAACCUUAAAUCAUGUCAUCUCCAAAGGUUCAUGGUCAGCCUUAAACCAUGUCAUUUACAAGGUUAGUGGGUUUAUCCUUAAACCACGGGGUUGGUGGCUUUUCCUAAACCACACGGUUCGUGGGUCUAUCCUUAAACCACACGGUUCAUGGGUCUAUCAUUAAACCACAAGUUUUGUGGGUUUAUCCUUAAACCACGGGAUUGGUGGCUUUUCCUAAACCACACGGUCGAAACCCGUUUUUACACGGUGAGACUUUCCUCUCAGUCGAAACCCGUUUUUACACGGUGAGACUAUCAUCCGGUCGAAACCCGUUUGUACACGGUGAGACCUUCCUCCUAGUCGAAACCCGUUUUUACACGGUGAGACUAUCAUCCGGUCGAAACCCGUUUGUACACGGUGAGACCUUCUUCCCAGUCAAAACCCAUUUUUACACGGUGAGACUAUCAUCCGGUCGAAACCCGUUUGUACACGGUGAGACCUUCUUCCCAGUCAAAACCCGUUUUUACACGGUGAGACUAUCAUCCAGUCGAAACCCGUUUUUACACGGUGAGACUAUCAUCCGGUCGAAACCCGUUUGUACACGGUGAGACUAUCAUCCGGUCGAAACCCGUUUGUACACGGUGAGACUAUCAUCCGGUCGAAACCCGUUUGUACACGGUGAGACCUUCUUCCCGGUCGAAACCCGUUUUUACACGGUGAGACAUUCCUCCCAGUCGGAACCCAUUUAUACACUGUGAGACUAUCAUAUCCAGUCAAAACCUAUCACAUCAAAUCAAAACCCGUUUUUACACGGUGAGACCAUCACAUCAAGUCAAAACCCGUUUUUACACGGUAAGACCAUCACAUCCAGUCAAAACCCGUUUUUACACGGUGAGACCUUCUUCUUUUUUUCCAGUCUAAACCAUACGGUUCGUGGGUUUAUCCUUAAACCACAAGGUUCGUGGGUCAUCCUUAAACCACAAGGUUCGUGGGUCUAUCCUUAAACCACACGGUUCGUGGGUCUAUCCUUAAACCACACGGUUCGUGGGUCUAUCGUUAAACCACAAGGUUGGUGGGUCUAUCCUUAAACCACGGGAUUGGUGGCUUUUCCUAAACCACACGGUUCAUGGGUCUAUCCUUAAACCACACGGUUCGUGGGUUUAUCCUUAAACCACGGGAUUGGUGGCUCUUCCUAAACCACACGGUUCGUGGGUCUAUCCUUAAACCACGGGGUUGGUGGCUUUCCUAAACCACACGGUUCAUCGGUCUAUCCUUAAACCAUGCUUUUAAAAUGUUCAUGAGUCUAUCUUUAAACUACGAUUUUUCAAAAGGUUCAUGGUCAACCUUAAACCAUGUCAUCUACGAAGGUUCAUUGGUUUUCCUCAAAUCAUGCAUUUUUCAUAUGGUCAAAACCUGUUGUUACUCGAUGAGACCUCAUUCCUCUCCUUCUUUUUAUGACACGGCGAGCUUCUGUAGCCCGGAGUUUUUCUCUUCUUCCUCUUAUAGACAAGACGCGCUUUCAUAGUUAUGAGUCAUUUCCAUCGACCUGAUGCGUGCCUAUGCACCCAGGGUCUCUCUAUUGCCCAAAUAAUUUAGGUGUCUUCUAUCUUUGAAUGCAACCUCUUCGAGCUUCCAUUCAAAGAGGGGCAGCUGUUGACACCUAAAUUUUACAAUUUUAUUAUGUACAAGAUUAAGAAUUAGUCUACCUUUUACAAAAACAAAAAAUUGGGAAUUAGUCAAUAAAACAAAAACAAAAACAAAAACAAAAACAAAAAGAAAAAACAAAAAGAAACAACAAAAAACAACAAAACAAACAAAAAACAAAGAAAAAAGAAAAAAGAAAAAGACAUGGAAAGGGCCGGGCCGGAUCUCGCCUUGGCCCGGCCCAUGCCGCUUUCUGCCUCCAUCUUCGCCAAAACCCUAGCAACCAAAAAGGGGAGGAAGACCUGAAAAAAAAAAAAAAACACAGGAGAGACAACGGAGAAAGAAAAAGGGAGCUCGAGGGAGACAAAGGGGAAGGCAAAAGAAAAAAAAAAAGAAGAAGAGAAAACCGGAAGGAAGGGCGGCACCGCCGCCGCCGCUGCCGCCCGACUAAGGCCUGACACCCGCGUCACCGCUGCCCUCCUGCCCGUCAUCGUCCAAGCCGCCACCCUCCGAGCCCGAAGCCGUUCGAGCCGCCCCGCGUCCGUGACCGCCCAGGGCCGACCCACUUCUGCUCUGCCUCGCCUUCGACCUGCAGAUCCCGCGUUCACCAAGCCGACGCCGCCGAGACUCUUGCAAGCUCGAAGUCCCGCCUCUCGCCGAGACUCCUGCAAGCCCGAAGCCCCGCCCCUCGUCGAGGCCCCCUGUUGCUGGGUCCUCCUCUGCUCCUACACCACCUCUUCGCCUGCAAGCUCGAGUCGCCAUCCCUGCGAAGCUGCCUUCUGCUCCCUGCCCGCUGCUCCGCCCGUGCCGCUUUGACCAGCAACUCGAAGCCGCUGCUCAACCUCCUCACCACACCUCCGAACGCCGUCCCCCGCCGUCUUCUCCGGAACCCAAAUAUGAGGAAACGGAGGGGAGGAGGGCAACGGCGGCGCUGCCUAACGCCAUCCGAGCCGCUGUCCUCCUCACCGCCCCAACCCGACGCCGCUCGACCAACCGAGACCGCCACUGUCUUCCCCAAAACCCAGAUCUGGAGAAGCCGAGGGAGCAGCUCGCCGCCAAAGCCACCUGCAAGUCUGCCCUUUCUCCUCGACGCCGAGCCGCCGUUCUCUGCACCUCGAGCGACGCCCACACCUUCGCGUCGUUGCUGCCGAAGCGCCGGACGUCCGCCAGCACCGUCAAUAGCAGCUCGAGCCACCGCCGCGCCUCCGCCCGCGACGACCUGCCGCGCUCUGCUCGCGAACCGACAGCACCCACCGCCACUGCUCCCGACGCCGAACCAGCCGGAGACGAACCAAAUCUAGGAGUUGAUCGAACUCCGCUGCACCACCAGGCCGACCGCCGCCGCCGUCCCGCUCUAGUCGCCGUCCGAACCCCCUCGCUGCAGCUGGUGCCGUCGCUCACCCAUCACUGCCCUCAACCCAACGCUGUUCGAGCUGCCUCGCCCGUCACCGCCGAGCGAGCCCCACACCGGCCCUCGCCACGCGCUACCACUCCUGGCCGCGUCUCCGCGAGUCACCGCCGUGCCGACGCCGCCGCCCGUCGUACCUCCGCUGUUGCCGUCCGAAUCACCUUUGCCACCGCCACCAACGCCGCCUAGAAACCCUAGGGUUUCGGCCAAAAGGAGCGGGUCGGACACGGGUCGCGAACCGGGUAGGGUUUUUGAGCUAUUUGGGC
rnacentral:lncRNA from 1 species